UAUAUUUAUAUAUAGACCGUGUAAUAUUUUUUUUUCCCCUCUGUUAUUUCCCCUUUGUCCCGUACGGUCUCUCCCCUCCCCUCCGCCCGCGAAAUAUAUAUACCUCCGCCGGGUAGACGUUUGGCCUUAACUUCUCGGCCGUAUAAUUUAUGUCUUUUGUCCGUGACCGACCCGACCGUAUAAUAUCACCGGCGCUGCCGCUGCCACUGCAGUUAUACGCGUACACAGUAACAGCAGUAACAGU